GCCUUUUAAGAGAGGGGGUGGUGUGCGUCCCGACACGUGGUCCAAAGGGUCGGGACGGGAACCUGCUGUCGCCUCCUGCAAGUCGCCGACCCUGCCCCGCAGGGCGAUCGAGGGUUCCUCCAGGAAGUGAGAAAUACCCAGCCUGCAGCAGAUGGAUGAGUCCUCCCGCAAGUGCCCCGAGUUCCGAUGGCCCGGGUCAGUUUCCUGGAAGAUUUAUAUGUGUGCUCCAUGAAAAUCUGGUUUCAUUUCUGCUGGUUCUGUGUCACUGUUUUGGCUUAGGGCCUUCCAGGGGCCUCAGCAGGAGCAGGACCACUUCCACACCCCGUUUCACACACAUCUGAGGGAACGCUGUUGUGACCAUGAUUGCGGACACUUGGCAUCAGCACUCUUGGUCACUUAGGUGUGUCCGCUCAGCCUCUUGGCUGUAUGGCAUCUCCCAGCUGCAUCUCAUCUAGCCUGACUCUGCCCCAGGCAAGGACACUUAGCUAAUGAAAACAUGGAAGGAGAGGAGAUUGGGAAAGACAAACGAGCAGGAAAGAAAGACAUCCGUAGUCCAGAUCAGAAAACGCAGAGGGUGUGGGAGUAACCCCGCCGUUUUACCCAGGAGUCGGGUGAUACCCGGUGGUCAAAGGUGCCGACCUUGGCUUCCCGGCUGACAACAACCCAGGCUUAUUUAACAAUGCAUUUCACGGCUCAGCUGAUUUUCAAGCUCUCCUUGGAAUGUAUCAACAGUGCUGGCAACAUCUAACGUGCCUUUGGUAAGGGACUUUGUCUCCUGGUUGUAUGUCAUAAUCACGAACAUAACAAUUGGGGGUUGACGUUUAUGUUUGAGGCCACCUCUACCAAACAUGUAUACCACCAGAUGCGUGUGCAAACACUGACUCAAUUUUCCCCACUCAACAGUUCUUUUCCACCUGCUGGGUAAGUGUGUAAUGGAAACUAAAUACAUUUUUUUUUUUUUUUGGUGGGGGGCACUACUGAGUCUUUAAGCUACACUAAGCUAUGUUCCCAGCCCUCUUUAUAUUUUUUAUUUUGAGACAAAUUCUCACUGAGUCAUUAAGUGUCCAGACUGGGUUGGAACUUUUGAUCCUUCUGCCUCAGCCUCCCAGAGUGUAGGGAUUACAGAUGUAUGCCACAUGCCCAGCUCAAUAAAAUCUUUUGGUGAUAAAGAGCUGGCACCAUCUGAGCUCUUCCACUGGCUUUGCCUAAUGUUGUGCCUUUCUGUGUUAAGCCAGGCAGUCAUAAACCCCUUCCAGCAGGUGGGAAGCCCUGAUUACAGGAGCCAGGACUAUUAACAAUGUAGUCUCCUCUGGACUAUAGGGGCCAGAGGCCACUUUCUGUUCCUCCUCAAGGGUCAGUGACAUGAAACAGAGGGUAAGAUGUCAUUUCAUAUUCCAAAAUGACUACUCAUCUCAAUCCUGCUAAAACUGUGGUCAUCCAAAGUAAACAUUCUUUUUUGUGGGGAGGUAGACAGGCUGGUCUUGAGCUCCCUUUGUAGCCCAAAACAUUCUUUUUGGUGGAGAGGUAGACAGGGUCUCAUGAUGCAGUUCAGGCUGGUCUCAAACUUGCUAGGACCCUCCUGCCUCAGCCUCCUGAGUGCUGGGAUUAUAAGUGUGCCCCACCAUGACAGACUCUCCAAGAAAAAAUUCUGAUGGCUUGGUAGUUGUUAUGGUUUGUGUCUGGAUGUCCCCCUAAAGUCCAUGCAGUCAUGGGGUGGGUUUCUAGAUUUUUAAUUGAUCCAUAGUCCAAAACUGGGAUCAUGGGAGUGAGUGUUAUACCUGCCCCUGGGACAGUAGUUUGCAUACAAUGUAAGGGAGGGGAAAAGGCUGCUUGCUGCUGCCAUUUCCCCCUUUUGCUCUUGUUGCU